rnacentral:rRNA from 1 species
AGAAAUAACAAUACAAGGCAGUUAAAAUGCUUUGUAAUUGGAAUGAUAGAAAUUUAAACACUUUUUAAAGUAUCAAUUGGAGGGCAAGUCUGGUGCCAGCAGCCGCGGUAAUUCCAGCUCCAAUAGCGUAUAUUAAAAUUGUUGCAGUUAAAAAGCUCGUAGUUGAAUUUCUGUUAAAAAUAACCGGUCUGCUUUUAAUAAAAGUGGUAUCUUGGUGUGUUUUUAGCAAUAAUGUCCUUUGAAAUGUUUUUUACUUUAUUGUAAUAAAUAAUAUUCAGGAUUUUUACUUUGAGAAAAUUAGAGUGUUUCUAGCAGGCUAACGCUUUGAAUACUGCAGCAUGGAAUAAUAAGAUAGGAUUUUAGUUCUACAUUAUUGGUUUUAAGAACUAAAUUAAUGAUUGAUAGGGACAGUUGGGGGCAUUUGUAUUUAACUGUCAGAGGUGAAAUUCUUAGAUUUGUUAAAGACAAACUACUGCGAAAGCAUUUGCCAAAGAUGUUUUCAUUAAUCAAGAACGAAAGUU